GAUGAAGAACGUAGCGAAAUGCGAUAAGUAAUGUGAAUUGCAGAAUUCAGAGAAUCAUCGAAUCUUUGAACGCACAUUGCGCCCCCUGGUAUUCCGGGGGGCAUGCCUGUUCGAGCGUCAUUACAACCCUCAAGCUCUGCUUGGUAUUGGGCCCCGCCAGUUCUGGCGGGCCCUAAAGUCAGUGGCGGUGCCUUCCGGCUCCGAGCGUAGUAAUUCUUCUCGCUCUGGAGACCCGGUUGUGUGCUUGCCAACAACCCCCAAUUUUUUAAGGUUGACCUCGGAUCAGGUAGGGAUACCCGCUGAACUUAAGCAUAUCAAUAAGCGGAGGA
rnacentral:misc_RNA from 1 species